AUUCUGACAAAAUGGCCCCUUGCUAAAACACCAUCCCUAAUUCUGGUGGCCUGUGUUCUUGAUGUUAUGUAGUCCCAAUCCAGUGGGUUAAAGAGGGGCCACUACCGUCCUGAAUAGUUUAUCUUUAGAAUGGAGGGACUCAUUUUGUCAAAUAUCCUUGAAAAAUCAUCAAAAAUGUACCACCCAGAUAGCAGUACACAAUCCUAAAUUCUCCCAGUGCUCGAACUGAAAAAGGCCCUGGUCUUUGAUGACCUGAAGCUUUAGAUGUUGGAGAGUCAUCUGUUCCAGAGUUUCAUGAUGUGAGAUGAAAGCUGCAGUGUUUAUGCCCCCUGUCUGCUGUGCAAGUUUUGCUGCCUUGGGCACUGGAACAAGAUAGGAUGUCUUCCACGACACAAGGAUCCUAUCAGAACAGCAUCUAGAGGGGCUUUGACAGAUUUUCUCUCAUGUGAAAGACAGUGGAGACACAUUCAUCAUGAAGUCCUCAGCAGCAGCUGAUGACAACCACUGCUGCAUGGAGGAGGCCAACAAGAUGACCAGGAGGACCUUGAUGUCAGCAGUCAACAGAGUCAUCUGUGUCACCUGGGGUUUGUAAUUGGUAAAGGAAAUAUAGCACUGUGUGUGUUCUUUGAAAUUUUUGCUGUUUUAAAAAUUGUAGAUUUUUUUUAGAGUUACCAUUCACAAGUAAUUAUCUAAAUCCGCGUGGCCAGUUCUGAAUUUUUUUUUGGCCACACAUACAGGAAGGGUUAGGGUUACAGUUAGGAGUUAGGUUAAUAUGCGGAACCAACAACAACAUUUAGCCACGUAAAUAUGUGCAAAUGACAGCCUUUUCUUAAGCAGGAAAAAUUAUAGAGAUACUAGAAAAUAUGAGAUGAAUUUUUCAAGAAUGUCAAAUUCUUUAAAAUAAAAAGCAAGAUGUGUCAUGACUAGCAGAACUAAAUAGACCCAGACGCUGGAACCCGGAAGGAGACGCAGGUGAGUUCUGAAGUGGUUUAAAAGGGUUUAAUAUUCAGAUCUUGGUUCAGAGGCGAGUUAGUUAGCAGAAUCCAAGGAGGACCCACGACGAAGAUUGAGGAUUUUCGUCGGCUCGUGACGGCUCGUGACGUCACUGGUGGCUUCGUCCGUGGCUCGUGGUGAACUGCAGGCUCGGCAGAGGCUCGUGGCUUGACUGGAGGUAAUGAGUAGGCUGUGUUCCGAAAAAACAACAGACUCAGGCAACCAUUCGUGGCAAUGGAUUCCUGGAGACAGGUAAGAGCAAGAUUUUAGGUACAGGCUUGAAACAAGGGCAAAGACCGUGACGACCAUGCUAGUGGAUUUCCAUACAUAUAUGUGUAUAUACUGUAUAUAUAUAUGUGUGUGUGUGUGUGUGUGUAUGUAUAUAUAAAUAUAGAUUUUUUUUAAGGCAAGCUAAAGUUUUAGGUUUAGUCAAACUGGGGUUUAUGGUAAAUUUGUGUUUUUUUUCUUAGAAACAAGAAAUUUAAGAAUUGAAGAUUUGCUUUGUUUUUAUUUUUUUCU